UAGCAACCAUGUCAGCUCCCCUCUUG
rnacentral:piRNA from 1 species